CAUCACAGCUCAAUGGGGAAAACAUCCUGCUUAUCCCACAGUGGUGAGCCCAGCAAAAUCCAUGGAUAAGUGGGGCUGGAGGGAUGGACAGGGAGAAGGAAGGGAAAGGCGAAGGAAGCGAAAAGCCCUAAGGAACAGCACUCAAUGGAAUGAGGACCACCAGCGUGUAGUAGCGGGCAUAACAAGCCCUCUGUAAGAAUGACAAGGAUUGAGCAUCUGGUGAACUGCUGGCCUAGCACUCUGAUACCCUGGACUCAAUCCCACCACUGCAUAAACACCUGCAAUCCCAGCAUUCAGAAGGUGGUGGUGGGAGGAUUAGAAGUUCGAGGCUAUCCGUAGCUACAUACAGUUUGAGACUAGCCUGGACAUAUAUGAGACUGUGUCUUAGAAAGAAACAAAACAGAACCGUGGAAAUGAUAAUAGCAGGAGACUUUACAGAAGGAUUACUCUGUGCCAUUCCAAACCCUACAUAAACGUUAGUCAAUGUCAUCACCAGUGCUGUGCAGUGUCUCAUCUGAGGUGGUGCAGCUCCUUCUGGAGAAGUGUUUGGAGUAGAGUAUAGAUUUAUAGAGCUGCCCCAUUUCUAUUUAUGCAUCCUCUCUCCUGUUAUUUUUUCCCUUUCACUCAUUAUAAGAACAGGUCUCUCGGAUGCUAAGUAGAGCUAAGUGUUUGGUUCCAGGGCCCAAAAGGCCAGUUCUGAAGCUUCCUCUUUUCAGACAGAAGCACAUUGUACAUAAGAAACCAAAACCAUUACUCGGCAAGAAGAAAUGAAAGAAGAGCCCCCAAGGAGCUCUCUGCUCUUCCUCACUCUAUUCCUCUCAGAUCAGGCCAGAGCCUGCUGUAAAUACUGGACAGUCCAGAGAAAGGCUGACAGUACACUUAUUACGGGGAACCUCCCAGCCGGCAUGCCCUGUGAAAUGCCUUCUAGAUACUUGUCGUGAGAAGCGUUGUGUGAGUUGCUCAAAAGCCACAGAGGAACCCAGUAAUUGUGAGGCUAGGUUCAGACUGCAAUUAGUUCCUCAGAAAAACAAAGAAAGCCACCUCACCCCACUUUUAGAAUGUGGAUCAUAAAGUGAAGCCUUGGAGCCACCACAGAUGACUGGUGACUCACUGUCAGCAGCAAGAGUGUCUUGGAGAUACCAGAAAUUCCACUGAAGCCUUUGGGUUGCGACUGUACGAGACACCACUUUGUCGGCAUCAUUUAUGUCUUAAAACCGUGGAGCUGGAGAGUGCACUUGGGGGACAGGAUAGAAGUCAUGGGUAGAUGGUUUAGGUCUGUCCUCCUGGAAAUGUACCAAGUGUCCUUUGAGAGAGCAACCCUCAGGCAGACAUAACUUAGCUGGGGGAGACAAGACAGAACAACAAACACAAGUCUGGGAAUAACUACCAGCUGAAGGACGUGCUGGGGCGGUGUGACUGUCAGCCAUGGAGAGAUCUCUGAGAGAUGGAAAUACAAGGGCCUGAUGCAGGUGGCAUGGGUAUGAAGGAUCCCCUGGGCUCUGGCACACUAAAAGGUGACAGUAAGGCUUUUGUGGAGACAGAGGGAUCCAUGUGAGUGAGUGAAGACUAAUAGUAAGUGCGUGAUAAGGGUUAGCUCUGGGCUGUCGAUGGGAAUGGGGUAUGUACUGGGGAAAUGUAGAAGAGAAGGACCGAGGGACCUUAGAAGCUAAAGGAAGAUUCCAUGGGAAAUUAAACCCCGCUAAAGGCUUAGGAGUAGACAGUGACUCGAGAGCAUGUGUAGGGGUGAUUAACAUGGCUCACUGUGUUCAGCAGCAGCUUGAAGAUGAGGGCUAGCAGUUACAACAACAUUUCUGGUAUGCUCUACAGUCAAGGGGCUGACCAGGCAUAUUGUGCUGGAUCCAAAGUUCCAAACCUUAAGAGUACUUGGACACACAAGAGACCAACACUGUCUUCACGCAGCUUGCAGUCAACUUCAGAGAUCUAGGCAGUCACCUCUGUUUUCUAACUUGAUCAGAUGAGCUAUCCUGCAGAACUGCAGGAGGAGAGGAAGAGUCCAGAUACUACUAAGGACUCACCUGUACCUUCAACCGGAAGGGGUGCUCUGAGCUGAAGGGGAAGACAAAGCCACUUAGGAAUGGAACACAGCAAUGACUGGCCUGCAAUGACUGACACUCUGCUUAUCUGAACAGGGCAGGAGUGGCGCUGGGUGCAGUGAAUGAGUCUGAAGAGCGCAUUGGACCAGCUCUUUCCACUUACACCGCUGAAGCCUGGCUCAGCCUCCGCUAUCGAGCGUCUACUAGUUUCUAGUCUCUUACUAUCUCCCUGCUUUCAGCCUGUGGCUUAUCAUACAACCUAUUGUGCUAGACUUGAAAACCCUGCAAGAGGCUAUGCUGUGGUUCUCCUUAAAAAUUCCUCAGAUGCUACUCACAAAGUAAAGAGAAUGAGAUAUGCACAAAGACUGCCUGAGAGCAAGGGUCGCACAGCCUGCCUACUGCAAGCGCUUAGCAGUGACUACAGAAUUUUGUACCUGCCAGGAGCUCAAGAAACACUGCAGCUUCAGGACAGGAGUGCCGUGAGUCUGUCCUCACCUCCUUUGCCACUGUCUCCCUAUGUGAGCCCCUUCUUCCAGACAAAAGGGGUUGUUUUUUACGAAGGACUGUUUUGAUGCAUACUUUGUUCCGUUUGGCCAUUUGUUCAUACAUUUAUCUAUUUAAUAAACCCCAAAUCUUCCCCUUGGGUUAUA